AAAAUAUACAAGAUCAACAAAAAAUUAUGUGAACCGAUCCUGGUGGCAUGCACCUGAAGUCCCAGCUACUCUGGAAGCUGAGGCAGGAGGAUCUCUUGGGAGCCUGGGAAAAUAUAUAUCUGCAAAAUAUAUAUCUGACAAAGGACUUGUAUCUCAUAUAUAAAUGCUACAAAACAAUGUCUCAAAUAAAACAAAAAAUGUGUUUCAUCCAGGCGCAGUGGUGCACGCCUGUAAUCCCAGCAGCUCAGGAGGCUGAAACCAGAGGAUCAUGUCUUUAAAGCCAGCUUCAGCAAUGGCUAGGUGCUGAACAGCUCAGUGAGACCCUGUCUCUAAAUAAAAUACAAAAUAGGGCUAGGGAUGUGGCUCAGUGGUCCAGUCCCCCUGAGUUCAAUCCCCGGUACCAAAAAAAAAAAAAAUGUGUUUCUAUAGCUUUCAAUGAAAAUGGAAAUCAAAUGCAAAAAACCCCACCAUUUCUAAUCAAAAGAAAAAUAAAAUACAUAGGUAUGAAUCUAGCAAAAUAUACAAGAUUUGUAUGCUGAAAUCUUCAAAAUACUGAUGAAAGAAGUCAGAACUAAAUAAGUGUAAACCACAUGUUCUUGGAUUGGAAUAGGAACAUGCAAAUUAAACCACAAUGAGAUAUUAUUACAUACCUAUUAAUAACAAAUAUAGUAAAGAGAUCAUUUCUUCCCAAAUUGAUCUGUAAUUUCUAUCAAAAUUCCAGGGAAUCAGGAGGAUUGCAAGUUCAAAGCCAGCCUCAGCAAAAGUGAGGUGCUAAGCAACUCAGUGACACCCUGUCUCUAAAUAAAAUACAAAAAAUGGGCUUGGGAUGUGACUCAGUGGUCAAGUGCCCCUAAGUUCAAUCCCUGGUACCAAAAAAAAAAAAAAAAAAAGAAUUCCAGGGAAGUUUUUGUUAU
rnacentral:lncRNA from 1 species